rnacentral:rRNA from 1 species
AUGGCGGCAGCUUCCUCCGCCGGUUCGGAUCUCUCCACGACGUACCUGACCACGUCGUUGGCCACUACUGCGUCGAGGAGGGCUACGGCUCCCCGUGCCCGCCUAGCCUUAACCCUGUCUUCAUCUCCUCCUCCUGCGGACACCAUCGCCUAUCAAAAUCUGGCGCUCGACUUCCUCCCGCUGGGGGAAUUUGGCGAUUGCCGUUGGGAGCUCGCCGACAUCCGGGGCGGCCUCUUGCUCCUCUUCCACAGGUCACGGGCACCACGCCUCCUCAUCUGCGAUCCCUUGGCACGACGGUACAAGGAAAUCCCUCGCUCGGCGUGGUUCCAUGGUUGCAACAUGCUGGGUGCUUUCCUCCUCGACGGUAAGGAUGCGGACGCGGACGCGGACGCGGGCAUCAGCCUCUCAAACUUCAGGGUGACGUGCAUGGUAUUUCGCCUUCGGGACCGCAACGCCAGGGCCUGCGCCUUCUCUUCUGCCGUCGGCAGGUGGGUCUCCACCACCGCACAUAGCAGCAAGUCAGUCGUCCCCGACGGGGACCUGGACCCCAUCCAUUUUGCAGGGAGCGACGAUUGGUCUGCCUACUGGACGGUCAGAGACAACACUGUUAUUGUUCUGGACAAGGACGUCGCCGAGCUCCUCUCUUUUGUCGUGCCGGACGAUGAGGAGUACCACGCGCUCUGGGAGAAGCGCCACGACAUCAGAUGCCAUGGCCACCUAUUAUCCAAGAUUGCUUAUCCUAGCUGCAUUGGUUUGGUGGGCUGCGGAUAG